AUAGAGUGCUGAGUUAGCUCCCAUAGUCUGGGGAGAACCCAUUGUGACAUUUCUACCGCGAACAUUUUUCCCCUUGGAAACAGGCAAACGCUACAAAUCAAGGCUUGCUUUUGUUGUUGUUGAUGAUGUCUAGACUCAAGAACUGGGGUGCAGAAAAUGUCAAUAAUGCGGAUGAAUUUCAGAGUGGGUAUGAACACCCAUUUCAUGCAUUGAGUGGAGGUCUGUGACCACCUGUGAAAGAAUGUGUAGCCCUGGAGAGGAGCAUCUGCUGUGAUUGGUAGACAUGAAAUUUAGAGGAGGUGACACAAGAGAAAAAGAUCUUUAAAGAACCACAGAGGCCAGAUAGAUGGAAGAACUCUGAUGUGGAGUUGGCCUGGAGGAUCAGUUUCUUGAGCUUAGGAGAGACUGGAAUACAGACACUCGGACUUAGCUGUGGAACUUGACCCUGGAGGAGUUCGUGCAGGAGACCUCAGACUGCUAUCUUUUUAGGCCGUCACUGUGAAUCAGGGAUCUCAAGAAAGAAGGGGCCAAAGGCAUCAUCUAAUUCAAUACCCUCAUUUUACGUACACUAUGAAGAAUCUGAGACGGGAAAAACUGAAGUGAUUUUCUCCACGUUGUGCAGGGAGCAAGUGGCAGAGGUCAGAUUCAAUCUCUAGUCCCUUCAUUUCAAAUCCAAUGCCUUUUCCAUGAAAAGUCUUUGCUUAAGGAUAUGCCAAAGGAAACUCUAUUGCUAGCCCAAUGUAUUCUUUAAAAAACGAACCAACAAUCCAAUCCUUAUUUUCUGUCUUAAUAACAACUUUAAUAAGACAGAUAGAUGAGAACUAGGCAAAUGGCAUUAAGUGGCUUCCCCAGGGAUAAGCUAGGAAGUAUCUGAGUCUACUUUUGAACCCAGAUCCUCUUGAUUCCUGGUCUGGAGUUUUAUCCACUGUGCAACCUCACUGCCCCCAGCCCAAUAAUUCCUUUUUUUUUUUUUAACCUGUAAAUGCAUCUUACAAUCAAUAUUAAGUAUUGGCUCCAAAGCAGAAGAGUGGCAAGGACUAGGCAUUGAGGGUUAAGUGACUCAUCCAGGAUUACACUGUUAAGAAGUAUCUGGGGCUAGAUUUGAACCCAGAACUUUCUGUGUGUAGCCUUGGCCAUCAAGCCACUGAGCCACCUAGCUGUCCCCCAAUAUAUUUGUAAGACGAAGAGUCUGAAAACUUGAAUGCCUAUCAAAUGGAAAAAUGGAAUUAAGGAGAUGAAAGUUCAUUAAGUUCAAUCCCCUCAUUUUAGAGGAGAUGUUAAGCAACUUAAAGACAUGCAGAUAGUAAGUAGCAGACCUGGGACUCCAACUCAGAUCCUCUGGCUUCAAAUCCAUCUCUUAUUAUAGUGUACUGAACUGAAUCGUUUGAAAUGAUUUGUGAAGUUGCAGAAGAAUUACUAUUAACGCCCUCUUUGCUUGUCAGCAGCUUCUGAUGGUAUUUUCCCCUUCUUUUAUUAAGUGCUAGGGCUCCUUUUAAGCAAUUUCCUGUGGUGUGGUUAUAUGAGGUAGCUGAGAGAUCCCUGGAAGGGAAACCAGAAUAUCUGCCUUCUGGGAGCAGCCAUGCUCUUAUCCAUAU